GACGAACGCUGGCGGCGUGCUUAACACAUGCAAGUCGAACGGUAAGGCCUUCGGGUACACGAGUGGCGAACGGGUGAGUAACACGUGGGUGAUCUGCCCCCUACUCUGGGAUAAGCCUGGGAAACUGGGUCUAAUACCGGAUAUGACCUCCUUCUGCAUGGUUGGUGGUGGAAAGUUUUUUCGGUAGGGGAUGAGACCGCGGCCUAUCAGCUUGUUGGUGGGGUAAUGGCCUACCAAGGCGACGACGGGUAGCCGGCCUGAGAGGGCGACCGGCCACACUGGGACUGAGACACGGCCCAGACUCCUACGGGAGGCAGCAGUGGGGAAUAUUGCACAAUGGGCGAAAGCCUGAUGCAGCGACGCCGCGUGGGGGAUGACGGCCUUCGGGUUGUAAACCCCUUUCAGUCGGGACGAAGCGAGAGUGACGGUACCGAUAGAAGAAGCACCGGCCAACUACGUGCCAGCAGCCGCGGUAAUAC
rnacentral:rRNA from 1 species